rnacentral:lncRNA from 1 species
GUGGGAUCCACAGAAGUCAUGAAAACAAUAAUAGAUUAUAAAAGAGGUAUUUAUGAAUUACGUAUAGGCUAUAGGCUUAGUAUGUACAUUAACAGACAUUUACAAAGGAAAAAAUAAUAAUUCACUCUGAAAUAUAGUAACGGAUUUCUUCCUUUCACUUUGUGUGUGUGUGUGUGCAUGUGAAGAAUGUUAUUUUUUUAAUUGUAUUUUUUCAUUGUCACAGGUUUUAAAGUGAGAGUUUCUCAUUUGUUUUCCACUUAGGAUUGUUUACUCAUUCCUGGGAGCUGUGUUCACAAUGAGUGGAAUCACUUCGACGUCUCCUGUUUGUUUGGUUUGGUGUUUGCUGUGGUCAGGAAGUACCUGCCCUCCCAGAGACUGCCCCAGGUUGGAUUUUUUAAAGUUGGCUUUGCAGAUCUUAGGUGGGAUCAUGAGUGGGGCUCUUCCUUGUAUAUUUAUAUCUAAAUGUUGAACACAUGAUAACUCUUAGCAGCCCAGAAAAUUGCCUGAGCUCUCAGUGUCAUAUGCAUAAGCGUCACAUGUAUUGGAGAAGCCUGAACCUUCUUACUGGUCAGACUAGGGACAUGGGGUCAAACCACAUGGUGGCUGAGUGUGGAAUGGGGGUUAAUAAGCAUUCAUUCUGGUCUGACCUUUUGGGAGUUUCUUUUUCCCAUCUGCAGAAGAAGAGGUUGCAUUAGAUGAAAUGAAAACUCAUGCCAACUCAAGUGCUAUAAUUUCACUUGGAUCUCUGGAUCUAGACAUGGAAACUGCUCCUUGUACCAAACACUACUGCCAUCUUUUCGGGCCACAAAAUGUCCGGUUUCAACCUGCUCUGGAGCAUCGGGUGCCAGGAUGGCUUACAAUUUCGUGGAGAGAAAUUGUUCAAGUAAUUAAACAAAAAUCAUCAAAAAUCAGCCCUCGGGUUAUUCAGAGCAAUCUAUCUACCCGCAGAAGACACUGACAGAAAAUCUUAAAUUCUUCUUCUUAAGACACCUACCUCAUACACAAAGAUAAGUGUAUUUAAUCUACUUUGUAUCCUGCUUUAUUUCAUAUAACAUUAUAUUCUAAACAUUUUCAAUAUUUUGACAAAUUAUGAUAAUCAAUUUAAAAGGGUACAUAAUACAUAAAGUAUUUUAAUUUACAUAUAGCAUCAUACCUAACAGAUAUAAAAAUGUUGGUCUA